rnacentral:lncRNA from 1 species
CGACGGCGACGAUGAUCGGAUCAUUGACGGCGACGACGAUCGGAUCAUCGACGACGAUGAAAAAGAAGAAGAAGGAGGAGGAGAAAAGAAGAAGGAAAAUGAGGAUACGAAGAAGAAGAGGAAGAAGAAGAAGUAGGAGAGGAAGAGGAAGAAGAAGCAGAGGAAGAAGAAGAGGAAGCGGAAGAAGAAGAAGGGUAAAAAUAUCAUUUUCUCUUAUUAACUAACAACGGUUAAGUAUUUUUACUGUGUUUAACUAAAUUUUUCUAACGGGUAUUAACUUACGGAAGUUGAACUUUGUAGGGAUAUAUCUGCUAUUCAAUAUGUUUGCAGGAACCUUAAUGAAAUUAAUGCAAAAUUUUAUAUAUUUAUUUAUUUAUUUAUUUAUUGGAACAAGCUCUAAGCUACCGUUUGGUUUGGAGUUAAGGAAAAAUUAGUUAUUCCAGGGAUAGGGUUAAGUUUAGGGUUAAGGUGGGGUUAGAGUAUUUUUAUGUUUGGUUGGGGGUUGGAGUUAGUCCAGGAUAGUAAAAAAUAGUGUUUGGUUGGAGUAGGUGAGAUAAAAAGGAUAGUGGGUUAUUAUGAAUAGAAAAUAGUAUUUGGUUGGGGUUUGGUGGGGUUAGGUGAGGUUAGCUAACCUGGGAUAAUCCAUUUGAGGUGGAGUUAGCUAAUCCCACCCAUUUUUAGAAGUGUUUGGGGAUAAAAUGGGGGUUAAGGGGUUAUUCUGUGUGCCAAGUGUACGGUGGAUGCAAUUCCUUUUUUUUAAUAUUAA